GACGUAGGGUGCGAGCGUUGUCCGGAUUUAUUGGGCGUAAAGAGCUCGUAGGCGGCUUGUUGCGUCGACUGUGAAAAACCCGCGGCUUAACCGCGGGGCUUGCAGUUGAUACGGGGCAGGCUAGAGUUCGGUAGGGGGAGACUGGAAUUCCUGGUGUAGCGGUGAAAAUGCGCAGAUAUCAGGAGGAAUACCGGUGGCGAAAAGCGACUCUCUGGACGGUAACUGACGCUGAGGCAGAAAGCGUGGGGAGCAAACAGG
rnacentral:rRNA from 1 species